AAGUCGUACCAAGGUUUCCGUAGGUGAACCUGCGGAAGGAUCAUUAACACUUAUCCAACGUUAAACCCCCCUGUGAACCUUUAGUGUGCUCCCUCAUUCUGUUGGAACGUGGCAAUCCCUGGUAAAUCAUCGCCGAACAGUUUUGGUUCAGGGACUUCUGCAAAGAGUGUUGGCUGUAGCGCGAGGCAAGUGGCCUGGAAUUCCUCUGCUUGUUAGUGUCUGAAAGUGUCACUGGCUCUGUAAGAAUGGCGCAGUCACGAUCGCUAGAGGCCGACACGGCCGGCGACCGGGUCACCGGGCUCACGCGCCAUAAACCGAACAACUGUUAACAAUGGAUAUCUUGAUUCUC
rnacentral:misc_RNA from 1 species